CGGGACCCAAACACACUGGACCGGCAGGGGGCAGGCAAAUAGGACACUUUUUUCUGUUUUAACCUUUUGAGCUAAAAUAUUCCCAAAUUUACCUCGUAUUUUAAAAAAAUCGAAUCUGUUUUUUUAUGACACCAACCCCCCUAACGGCUGGGUUGUACGAAAAAGAGGUCAGGGCAAAAGGCUUGGUCGGCAGAACCGUUGACUCGAUGACGUGACAAAGGGUCAGACAUCAUGGACCGAGACGCUGUGGACCUUGGCGUCUGGUUCUGAUAAGUGAAAUAUCUCACGAAAAGUGAAUGGGACCCACCCACUCAUUCUUCCCAAUUCAGCCCGAGCUUGCUGCUGCAUUUAUACUCUCUCCCCCUCUCCAACCCCCUCAAGCCCCCAUCAAAUCCUAUCCAAAAG
rnacentral:lncRNA from 1 species